rnacentral:sRNA from 1 species
GCUCCAGUGGGCGGGACCAGAGGAGUCCCGCGUUCGGGGAGUAUGUCAAGGCCGUGACCCGUGUAUUAUUGUCCGAGUGGCCGGAACGGGAGCCAACAUGGCAGCGGGUUUCGGGCGAUGCUGCCGGAGUUCACCGAACAGCAGAAAGAAUUUCAAGCUACUGCUCGUAAAUUUGCCAGAGAGGAAAUCAUCCCAGUGGCUGCAGAAUAUGAUAAAACUGGUGAAUAUCCAGUCCCCCUAAUUAGAAGAGCCUGGGAACUUGGUUUAAUGAACACACACAUUCCAGAGAACUGUGGUAAGCUUUCUUUAUAUUUUUAAUACUGGAAUGCAUAUGAGUAAGAAAAAUUGUGGAACUCUACUCAGUCAUUUUUUUCAAAUAUUUCUUGCCAUUAAAUGACUUUCUACCAUUGUCUUCCUGCUCAGACUACAGUGUUUGCCCACUUUUGGAAGCUUGCACUCUAUACUUAGAUGCAUUUUUCCUUCUAACUGGUUCCAACCUUAACUUGCACCUAAACCUUGGUAACUUCCAUUUCUAGAGUUGGUCAAUUUGUUGCGUUUUAUUCCUAUCUUCUAUAUUACAUUUUAUUGAGUCUUUUUUGUGAACCAUGAUUCUUUUCCUCAGACCCAGUUUUAGAGUUGAAUUGAGUUUUAACAAAAUCAAGUUAGAACAGGAAUACAGGUUCAAAUUACAAAUAGUAAAAUAAUUUUUUGAAAAUUUUAGAGCUUACUUUAAGAAAGUAUAAUUUCUUAUUGUGCCAGCCAGAACACAUGUAGAUAUUAUAUUGCAAAUUUCCUUUUAAAACAAAUUUUGGUCAUAUUGAAAGAAAUUAAAAUAGUUUACCUUUAUUUCUAUUGUGAUGUACUACAUAUUACAAUGUGUUGAAACAUUUUGAUACUGUAGGAGGUCUUGGACUU